rfam:Dipodomys ordii contig_5748, whole genome shotgun sequence.
GGGAAGGUGGCUCAGUGGUAGAGAGCUUGCCUUGCAUGCAUGAGGCCCUGGGUUCUAUUCCUCAGCUCCACCU